rnacentral:rRNA from 1 species
AACGAACGCUGGCGGCGCGUCUUAAGCAUGCAAGUCGGACGGCAAGGAGGGUAACCUCCCUAGAGUGACGGACUGGUGAGUAACACGUGGGUAAUCUACCUUAUGGUUGGGGAUAGCCUUUAGAAAUAAAGGGUAAUACCGAAUAUCAUCGUUAUGCGAAAGGCAGAAUGAUGAAAGGAGCUUUAGGCUCCGCCAAAAGAUGAGCCCGCGGCCCAUUAGCUAGUUGGGGGUGUAAAAGACCACCAAGGCAAUGAUGGGUAUCCGGCCUGAGAGGGUGAACGGACACAUUGGGACUGAGAUACGGCCCAAACUCCUACGGGAGGCAGCAGCUAAGAAUAUUCCGCAAUGGACGAAAGUCUGACGGAGCGACGCCGCGUGAACGAAGAAGGCCGAAAGGUUGUAAAGUUCUUUUGUACCCGAAGAAUAAGUUGUGUAGGGAAUGAUACAAUGAUGACAGUAGGGUAUGAAUAAGCCCCGGCUAAUUACGUGCCAGCAGCCGCGGUAACACGUAAGGGGCAAGCGUUGUUCGGAAUUAUUGGGCGUAAAGGGCAUGUAGGCGGUUCUGCAAGCCUGAUGUGAAAUCUCCGGGCUCAACCCGGAAAUAGCAUUGGGAACUGUAGGAGUUGAAUCACAGAGGGGAAAUCAGAAUUCCAGGUGUAGGGGUGAAAUCUGUAGAUAUCUGGAAGAGUACCAGUAGCGAAGGCGGGUUUCUGGCUGAUGAUUGACGCUGAGGUGCGAAAGUGCGGGGAGCGAACAGGAUUAGAUACCCUGGUAGUCCGCACAGUAAACGAUGUACACUGGGUGUUGGGACAGGAGUCUCAGUGCCAAAGCAAACGUGAUAAGUGUACCGCCUGGGGAGUAUGCCCGCAAGGGUGAAACUCAAAGGAAUUGACGG